rnacentral:rRNA from 1 species
AACGAACGCUGGCGGCAUGCCUAACACAUGCAAGUCGAACGAGACCUCCGUGUCUAUUGGCGCACGGGUGCGUACCGCGUGGGAACCUGCCCUUAGGUUCGCAAUAACUCCCCGAAAGGGGUGCUAAUACCGCUUAAUCUCUUCGGACCAAAGAUUUAUCGCUUUUGGAUGGGCCCGCGUUGGAUUAGCUGGUUGGUAGGGUAAAAGCCUACCAAGGCGACGAUCCAUGGCUGGUCUGAGAGGAUGAUUAGCCACACUGGGGCUGAGACACGGCCCAGACUGCUACGGAAGGCAGCAGUAGGGAAUAUUGGACGAUGGGCGAGAGCCUGAUACAGCAAUGCCGCGUAAGUGAUGAAGGGCGUAGGGUUGUAAAGCUCUUUUACCCGGGAUGAUAAUGACAGUACCGGGAGAAUAAGCUCCGGCUAACUCCGUG